CAUGCAUGCCCGCUCACCCGGGACGCGGCGGACGGCUCAGGACGACGGUUGCACCCCCCGCGGCGGUCCCUGCUAGCCGGACACCGCUGGCAACCCGGCGCCAAGACGUGCGCGCAAGGGCGAGCGCCCGCGGGCGAGCAGCGUGACGCAGCGACGGCCCGCCCGGGCUUCCGGGGCAUCACCCGGUCGGCGCG
rnacentral:rRNA from 1 species